UGCCUUACACAUGCAAGUCGAACGGUAACGCGGGGCAACCUGGCGACGAGUGGCGAACGGGUGAGUAAUAUAUCGGAACGUGCCCAGUAGUGGGGGAUAGCCCGGCGAGAGCCGGAUUAAUACCGCAUGAGACCUGAGGGUGAAAGCGGGGGAUCGCAAGACCUCGCGCUAUUGGAGCGGCCGAUAUCAGAUUAGCUAGUUGGUGGGGUAAAGGCCUACCAAGGCAACGAUCUGUAGUUGGUCUGAGAGGACGACCAGCCACACUGGGACUGAGACACGGCCCAGACUCCUACGGGAGGCAGCAGUGGGGAAUUUUGGACAAUGGGCGCAAGCCUGAUCCAGCAAUGCCGCGUGCAGGAAGAAGGCCUUCGGGUUGUAAACUGCUUUUGUCAGGGAAGAAAUCUUCUGGGUUAAUACCUCGGGAGGAUGACGGUACCUGAAGAAUAAGCACCGGCUAACUACGUGCCAGCAGCCGCGGUAAUACGUAGGGUGCGAGCGUUAAUCGGAAUUACUGGGCGUAAAGCGUGCGCAGGCGGCUUUGCAAGACAGAUGUGAAAUCCCCGGGCUCAACCUGGGAACUGCAUUUGUGACUGCAAGGCUAGAGUACGGCAGAGGGGGAUGGAAUUCCGCGUGUAGCAGUGAAAUGCGUAGAUAUGCGGAGGACACCAAUGGCGAAGGCAAUCCCCUGGGCCUGUACUGACGC
rnacentral:rRNA from 1 species